GACGAACGCUGGCGGCGUGCUUAACACAUGCAAGUCGAACGGAAAGGCCCUGCUUGCAGGGUACUCGAGUGGCGAACGGGUGAGUAACACGUGGGUGAUCUGCCCUGCACUUCGGGAUAAGCUUGGGAAACUGGGUCUAAUACCGGAUAGGAGCCAUCCUUAGUGUGGUGGUUGGAAAGUUUUUUCGGUGUAGGAUGAGCUCGCGGCCUAUCAGCUUGUUGGUGGGGUAAUGGCCUACCAAGGCGGCGACGGGUAGCCGGCCUGAGAGGGUGUACGGCCACAUUGGGACUGAGAUACGGCCCAGACUCCUACGGGAGGCAGCAGUGGGGAAUAUUGCACAAUGGGCGCAAGCCUGAUGCAGCGACGCCGCGUGGGGGAUGAAGGCCUUCGGGUUGUAAACUCCUUUCGCUAGGGACGAAGCUUUUUUGUGACGGUACCUAGAGAAGAAGCACCGGCUAACUACGUG
rnacentral:rRNA from 1 species